AAGAGUUUCAAAAAAUCCAAACACUUUUUAAAAAGAAUGAUAUUAUUAUCUGUUUUUCUUUCUGAAAUUCCCUUUUAAAUUCUGGCUAGUUUGCUUAGACAUUAGAUCAGUAUCCAAAAUUCAAUGGGCACGAUUAAUCCAGAAUUGGGGAGAUAAAGCGCCAUCUGCCAAGUGCCAACCCCCUCCUGGCCCACUACCUCCUACUAUAUGAUUGAUUUUGCGUCAUUCAUCAAACUCGGGACCACGGAAAAUGUAUCUAUGGCCUUUUCCCCCUGGUUGAUUAUCACCUCCCCAGCUCCACUGCGCAAUUGCUCUGUAAUUUUGAGUCAUUCAUAAAACUUGAUUGGGUAAGUUUACUAUUACACAAAUCUUGUGUCUUUUCUACAUUAGUAUCACUUAAGCUCAUACAACUCUUCUCCACCUAACAGUAUUAAUUGUUACAAGGACCUCAUCUUUCUUUGCGCUCUUAUAUAAAGUCAAUUGAAUAUUUGAGUAGUGUGUAGUGAAUAAAUAUGGAAACUAGAAUACUGUUGUCGCUUUAUUCUCCAUAUCUAGUCUUGUUUUCAUGGGCACUUUCUGUUCAUCUCUUUUUAGCUAUAGCACAAAGAUCCACUUAUAUUGUCCAUUUGGACAAAUCUUUAAUGCCUAAUGUCUUUACUGAUCACCAUCAUUGGCAUUCUUCUACUAUUGAUUCCAUCAAAGCUUCUGUUCCUUCAUCAGUCGACAGAUUCCACUCUGCUCCAAAACUUGUUUACUCUUAUGACCAUGUGUUUCAUGGCUUCAGUGCUGUUUUGUCCAAAGAUGAACUGAAAGCUUUGAAGAAGUCACCAGGUUUCAUUUCAGCAUACAAAGAUAGAACUGUGGAACCUGACACUACUUACACAUCUGAUUACCUCAAGCUCAAUCCUUCAUCUGGUCUAUGGCCAGCUUCUGGUUUAGGCCAAGAUGUGAUCAUUGGUGUUCUUGAUGGUGGCAUCUGGCCCGAAUCUGCAAGUUUUCGAGAUGAUGGUAUUCCUGAAAUCCCCAAAAGAUGGAAAGGAAUUUGCAAUCCAGGCACCCAGUUUAACACUUCCAUGUGCAACAGAAAACUCAUUGGGGCUAAUUACUUCAACAAGGGACUUUUGGCUGAUGAUCCCACUCUGAACAUUUCCAUGAAUUCUGCUAGGGAUACUAAUGGUCACGGCACACAUUGCGCUUCCAUUGCUGCUGGGAACUUUGCGAAAGGUGUUUCCCAUUUUGGAUAUGCACAAGGAACAGCAAGAGGGGUUGCUCCGCGAGCUAGGAUAGCUGUAUACAAGUUUAACUUUCGUGAAGGAAGCUUAACAUCGGAUCUAAUUGCUGCUAUGGACUAAGCUGUUGCAGACGGUGUUGAUAUGAUAUCCAUAUCUUUUAGUAACCGUUUCAUUCCCUUAUAUGAAGAUGCUAUAUCUAUUGCUUCUUUUGGAGCUAUGAUGAAGGGAGUGCUGGUUUCAGCUUCAGCUGGAAAUCGAGGUCCAAGUUGGGGAACUUUAGGCAAUGGAUCUCCAUGGAUCUUGUGCGUGGCAGCAGGCUUCACCGACCGGACGUUUGCAGGAACAUUGACUUUGGGCAAUGGAUUAAAAAUUAGGGGGUGGAGCUUGUUUCCUGCAAGAGCCUUUGUCAGGGAUUUUCCGGUGAUUUACAAUAAGACUCUAUCUGAUUGCAAGUCAGAUGACUUGUUAUCACAAGUUCCUGAUCCCCAAAACACCAUCAUCAUUUGUGACUAUAAUAAACUUGAAGACGGUUUUGGUAGUCAAUUUUUUUCUGUCAAUCAAGCAAGAUUUAAAGCAGGUAUCUUUAUUUCUGAGGAUCCAGCAGUGUUCAGGUAUGCUUCUUUUACCCACCCAGGAGUAGUGAUUGACAAAAAGGAAGGGAAACAAGUCAUCAAUUACGUUAAAAACAGUGUUGCUCCCACUGCCACCAUAACAUUCCAAGAAACAUAUUUGGAUGGAGAAAGGCCAAGCCCAUUUCUUCUUGGAUACUCAUCACGAGGGCCCUCCAGAAGCUACGCAGGAAUUGCAAAGCCAGAUAUUAUGGCUCCAGGGGCACUUAUUCUUGCAGCAGUUCCACCUAAUAUCCCUUCGGUUUCUAUUGAGAACCUACAAUUAACCACUGAUUACGAGCUUAAAUCAGGCACAUCCAUGGCUGCACCACAUGCAGCUGGAAUUGCAGCAAUGCUAAAAGGCGCACAUCCUGAUUGGAGUCCUUCAGCUAUUCGCUCUGCCAUGAUGACUACUGCAAACCAUUUGAAUAGUGCUCAAAAGCCUAUUAGAGAGGACGAUAACUUUGUAGCCUCGCCUCUAGGCAUCGGAUCAGGGCACGUUGAUCCAAACAGAGCACUUGAUCCUGGUCUUGUAUAUGAUGCCACUCCACAGGAUUACAUAAAUCUUAUAUGCUCUUUGAAUUUCACAGAGGAGCAGUUCAAAACAUUUGCAAGAUCAUCAGCCAAUUACCACAAUUGCUCAAAUGCAUCAGCUGAUCUCAAUUACCCAUCCUUCAUUGUCUUUUAUUCAUUCAGCCAGGAGGGUAACUACCCCUGGUUGGAGCAGAAAUUCAAGAGGACCCUUACAAAUGUUGGUAAAUCUGGAGCAACUUACAGAGUAAAAAUAGAGAAUCCUAGGAACUCUACAAUUUCAGUGUCACCACAAACAUUGGUAUUCAUGAACAAAAAUGAGAAGCAAAGCUAUACUUUGACAAUUCGCUAUAGAGGUGACGAGAAAGGAGGUCAAGAUGGGUCUAUCACUUGGGUUGAAAAGAGUGGAAACCAUUCAGUAAGAAGUCCAAUGGUGAUAACUUCCACAGUUGAUGUUUGGGCUUCAGAAGAUUAGGAUUUAGGACCAUCAGAUUAUGUAUGCUGAAUGAAAAAGUUGUCUUAUUCGAUAACCUACUUUAAGUCAUUUUAUCCCUAAGAACUCAUUGAUCAAUAGUAAAAUAAAUCAUUUUCUAGAGUUUGUAUAUUAUGAUCCUUACGUGGAUAGGAUAAUUCUCAUUUGUCAAGCAAAAGCCUAAAACAGUCUAAAGACUUCUCAAAAGAUAUUUUGGGGGAAGGACUAAAUAUUCAAGAUGUGG